CAGGCAGAGGUGGGCGGUUCUUCUGGUCCCACCUCCCUGAGCUAGGAGCUCCACUGUUUUUAGACUCCAGCCGAACCCUCAGAACCUAGGGCUGUUCGGGAUCGUCCUUGUAGUUUUCGUCUAUCUUCAGUUCGGGGCAGUUUUCUCUGGGCAGAGAGUCGCCGCAGUGGUCACUCAUCUGCGAGGCGCCCCAGGUCCUGGCGGAAGAGGCUGCAUAGGUCUUACGUUCCCUUGGCGCUUUACUUUUACGUCACCGGUGGCGCCAACGCAGGCCCGCGUCUGAGCCUUGGGUGCCUGCCAGCCCGCCCUUCAGGUUCAAAUCUUUUAUCAUUGGUUCGCUAACCGAAGCUGCGCGUUUGUCAGUCCGUUUGUUCAGCGUGCGCAGAGGCUCCAGAUGGCUCAAGCCCAAGUCUGCCUCGCAAUCACCGCGUCUGAUGACUUGACAGUGCCACGGCUCCCAACACUUCCUCAGACUAUGUGAUGAGGAUUCAUCCACCCUGGAGGCUAUCUGUUAGCAGAAUGCAGUACUCUUCCUGCAUACCUCUCUCUGCAUAUUGCAGGGGAGCUAUCAUGCCUUCUACCUAGCCCAGCUCACCGUACUCACUCCUGCCAUUCUCUUGGUAAUCAACCUCAUCACUCCCCUUUUCACAAAUGAAUAAAACCCCUAUUUGUCCC